AGUCUUAUAGUUUAAAUAAAAUAUAAAAUUGCAAAUUUUAAGAUAUAAUUUAUUAAGGCUU
rnacentral:tRNA from 1 species